GAUGAACGCUGGCGGCGUGCCUAAUACAUGCAAGUCGAGCGAACAGACGAGGAGCUUGCUCCUCUGACGUUAGCGGCGGACGGGUGAGUAACACGUGGAUAACCUACCUAUAAGACUGGGAUAACUUCGGGAAACCGGAGCUAAUACCGGAUAAUAUAUUGAACCGCAUGGUUCAAUAGUGAAAGACGGUUUUGCUGUCACUUAUAGAUGGAUCCGCGCCGCAUUAGCUAGUUGGUAAGGUAACGGCUUACCAAGGCGACGAUGCGUAGCCGACCUGAGAGGGUGAUCGGCGACACUGGAACUGAGACACGGUCCAGACUCCUACGGGAGGCAGCAGUAGGGAAUCGUCCGCAAUGGGCGAAAGCCUGACGGAGCAACGCCGAGUGAGUGAUGAAGGUCUUCGGAUCGUAAAACUCUGUUAUUAGGGAAGAACAAAUGUGUAAGUAACUAUGCACGUCUUGACGGUACCUAAUCAGAAAGCCACGGCUAACUACGUG
rnacentral:rRNA from 1 species